rnacentral:lncRNA from 1 species
CAACGCUGACCUAUAUCAAGAUCAACUCAACGAGAUCUGCAAUAUUUAAUAUAGACAUAUGCAUCGACAACCGCCCAUUUAAAGUUUUUAUAAAUAGAAAGGAUGAGGGGGUUGGAGAUCUCGAAUGUGGUGAUGUUGGAAAAACCAAUGGAUUGGGAAGAUGUUGCAUAUGAGCAUGUAGUAAAUGAAGUGGCUAUGAAAUAAAUUCCAUGCUCAUUAAUGCUUAGAGUGAAAUCCAUGUGGUGUGGUGAAAAUGGUAAGGUGAGUGUGGUAAAAAAAAGGAAAAGAAAAAGGAUACACGGACGACUUGGUUCGAAACUAGCACAGCUACCGUUCCCCGGCAACGGCGCCAGAAAGCUUGUUGGGUAUUUUAAACGCAAACAAAAAAAUCCGCAAGUGCACAGAUACCGAUGUAGCUUUCACCCGGGAGUAUUCC